rnacentral:rRNA from 1 species
CAAGCGUUGUUCGGAAUUACUGGGCGUAAAGGGCGCGUAGGCGGUCCGAUAAGUCCCGUGUGAAAGCCCCCGGCUCAACUGGGGAACUGCACGGGAAACUGACGGACUUGAGUUCGGGAGAGGGAAGCGGAAUUCCGGGUGUAGCGGUGAAAUGCGUAGAUAUCCGGAGGAACACCGGUGGCGAAGGCGGCUUCCUGGACCGACACUGACGCUGAGGCGCGAAAGCUAGGGGAGCAAACGGGAUUAGAUACCCCGGUAGUCCUAGCUGUAAACGAUGAGCGCUGGGUGUAGGGGGUGUUAACCCCUCCUGUGCCGAAGCUAACGCAUUAAGCGCUCCGCCUGGGGAGUACGGUCGCAAGGCUG